rnacentral:lncRNA from 1 species
GAUCUCUCAGGGGCAAGCAUGUUUCUCUUGGAUAAGAGUGGGGUGAAAGGCACUAUCGAAGUCUGAAUGCUGGUUGCAGAAGAUAAUUUGAAGAAUGGGAACAUUAAGCCAUACUCAUUCAACCUACUCUUUAAGAGUUUGACAGGAGGGCCUAUACCUGCAUAUGCUCCCACCUCCAUCCCAAGGGGAAAAAGAUGUCAAUGGAUGUUAGUAUAAGCUUCCUGAAGACCAACUCUCAAACAGACAAAUUUUGGACAAAAUAUGAAAAACACCUGCCUAAAGAUCUGGAGAGUAGUCAUCCGCAGGCACAGUGUUGAAGGGAGUCAAUGUGGAGAAGCAAAUAGCAAAGGGGCUAGGCUAUCAAAAAUAUCAUGGCUUCUGUCUUGGUGCCUCUUGGAUUUCACACUCUGGGGGAAGUCAGUCCACAUGUUGUAAUGAUGCUCAAGCAGCCCAUGGAGAAGCCCCCCUGAAGAAGAACUUGAAGACAAUAACCGGAAACAUGUGAGAGCGCCAUCUUGGAAGCAGAUUCCCCAGCCCAGCCAAGUGUUCAGAUAGCUGAGACCUGCCUGACAUCUUUCCUGUAACCUCCCCAGAGACCUCAAGCCAGAGCCACACAGCUAACCACUUCUGGAUUCUGAAAUGUUUAUUGUUAUGCGGACUUUCAGAGUUACAAGAGAAUUCAUGGAUUCCCUCCUCUGCCUCUUCAAGAAUCUGAUCCAUGGCCUACUUGACAGAUGACCUUCCUGCCUCUGCUUGAAUAUCUCCAGGGAUGGGAAGCUCACCACUAGUUGAGCCAGUUACCGACACAUGGCUUUGAAGAGCUAUAUGACUCCCUAUAAUUCUAACAGACUACUGGGACUGGGUUUUAGGAUUGUCUCUCCCAUUAGAGAACUGGUAACUUUGGAACUGGAACUUUUAAGAUCAGUGUAGACUUGGAUGGGGUUCAAGAUUCUAGUGCCUGCCACCAGUCUGCUCAUUCUCUUGAGAUAAGCUCAAAUACAUCAGUAAUAAAG